rnacentral:misc_RNA from 1 species
GAAAUGCGAUAAGUAAUGUGAAUUGCAGAAUUCCGUGAAUCAUCGAAUCUUUGAACGCACAUUGCGCCCUCUGGUAUUCCGGGGGGCAUGCCUGUCCGAGCGUCAUUUCACAGCAGUCAAGCAACGGCUUGUGUGAUGGGUCGUGACGUCCCCUUCACGGGGACGGGCCCGAAAGACAGUGGCGGCGUCAUCUGGACAGCCCAAGCGUAUGGGGACUCUUCACACGCUCGCGGCGCGGACCGACGCUGGCCUCCAGCAGGUUAACAGUUCUGGUUGACCUCGGAUCAGGUAGGGAUACCCGCUGAACUUAA